rnacentral:lncRNA from 1 species
AAAAUAGUUUGUGAUGACCGAUUCAUACAAAUUUUUAGGAUUUAUUGUUACAUUCAAUGUUUGAAUCCUCAUUUUCUCUUGAUCUCUGUGGAUAUCUCUCGAAUCUUGCAUGCCUUCCAUAUAGAUCUUGCUUCUGAACUUUACAUCCUUUAGUUUACAAUGAUGUGCUCCUCCAAUUCCACAAAAUAUUUUUGCCGAUAUUCUCUUUAUGAAAGGCCUUAGUCGAUUUUCGUUUCUUGGUAAAUGAUUGUAAUAACAAUUAAUUCAACGCCCCUCUCUCUAUUCACGAACACAAAGGUCUUUCUCUACCUCCACGACCAUAAAGGUCUUCAUCUCUCUCUAUCUCUCUAUAUGACUUUAUGUGUAUCAGAUAUGUUUCAGAAGUCAUAAACUGGAGGUGCUUGAAAAAGUUGAUUGUGUUGUUAAUUUCACCAUAUCUGCGAUCACAGACACAUACACAUUUGUUUAUUUUGGAUUUGGUCUUAAUUUGUAGGGUUUUUUCUUUCUUUUUUGACAUUAGAUCUUGACUCUGUUAUUGGUUGUUUAUAUGCAGGUAUGUCAUGGAUCAUUACAAAAAUAAGUCUCCAAUGUUGAGCCAUGUUUCUGAUUGUUUCUCAACUUUAACAUUUUUGAUGUUUCUAAUUGGGUUUUAAUUCAGGAGGUUUUUUUAGUUGUUUGUAUGCAGGUAUUCUAUGUUUCCAUUGGUUUUUCAACUUUUGUUUCACUAUCUAUCAUGAUCAUGCUUUGAUUAUAAACAUUAGCAUAACUGAAGCUCGUAUCAAUUGCAAUUGGUAUAUUUUUUAAGUUUCGUUUCGACUUUGGGUUCUUGCACUUUUUGAUUUUCUGUAUUGGUUUUGGAUUUCAUUUGGUUUUUUGUCAUUUUAGGCUCUUUCUGGUUUGCAAAGAAUGAGUGUUUUUGUCAAGAGAGAUGAUGAGCUCGAUCAAAAAUCAAGUUUAUGAUUUUUCCAUGAUAAAAUAUUAAUUGAAAAGUGCUUCUGUGUCUACAGAAUGUGUUGGUAACCCAUAACUCAAACCUUCAUGUUUUCUUAUAUUUUACUGUAAUCCCUUUUAAAUCUUCAUCUUUUCAAAUUUUGGUUGGGAUGAAUGAACAAAAAUUAUAUGGAUUUUACAGGAGUACAAUAAGUUUUAAAUAGGUUGUUUUUGUUUUUCAUAAGCGAUUUUUGCAUUUUAGUAUAAUCUAAGUUCCAUAUAUGGUGGUUUGGUAUUAUAGUUGUUUAUAUAUGCAUGUGAUGUUUGGAUUGUAUUCAAAAGGAAGCUGCAAAAGGUGUUAAAGUUAAGGUUGAAAGCAGAAGUGGAAGGUAAAAAUUAAGAAUAAAAUGUAAUCUUCAUGUUUAAUCCUACUUUAUUUUUUUAGUAGUUUCUAUUAAUUUAUAUGCUUCAAUUAAACUACAUGAAUCACUUAAGGAGAUCAAUUUGCAAGUUGUUGAAAAGUAGUUGGUCUUCAUUGGUUUAUAGAGGUAUUCUUUUAUAUAUAUAAAAUGGUGAAAUUAUGUUUUGUUUUCUGUAUUUUUUUCCUUGGUAUGACAAAAUCAUUUUGUUAAUAUGUUCUUGAAUGCGCAUUUUAGUUUUAAAUCUUCCUUGUGUUGUUGGAUCAUGUUAUCUCCUCCACCAUGAGAAUGAGUAUACAAGUGUACUUUCAUUCCAACAUCAAUUUGCGUAUCUAAUUCGGCUAAUACAUGAACUGACAAUUUACUUCUGUUUAUAUGUUUUAACCUUAUCUGUAACUUCUGGAAAACUGGAUUUCAUUAUAAAAAAAAUUACCUGAUCAGCCUUGACUGUCUGUGAGAAUGAUGAAAUUAUGAAAACUGACUAAUAUUUUGGCUUUGAAAACUUUGUCUGGAACAAGAGUUCUCAAGUUCUCACAAAUAUUGUAUCAUAAAAGAGUUUUCAUGUUAGAAAUGCUUUAUUCUCUAUGAUUACACUAAGGUAAUGUCAAUGUAGAACUCAACAUGCACAUGCUAUAAAAGGACAUGACUAUAAAUCGUUUACCUCUGAUUAUAAGUAUUUUUUUUUUACUUUACACAGAGCAAUUUUCAAAGAUCAUACUUCCCAAGUAAAGUUAUAACUUUUCAUUUAAUUAACACUUUACUAUAGUUUUUUUAAAUACAUCUUUAAAGUAUUUUCAUAGGUUAUUUGCUCGAUUUCUCCCAUGUUCUUUUGUAACUGCUCAACCUUGUAUGUUUCUCUCAAAUGUAAAUAUGUUGUUGAAAAUGUAAAUAUUUUGUUGUCAAAAUGUUGUAGAAAAGAGUAAUAUGAUGCUAUGAAAAUGCAUUUUUUUCCAUUUGGAAGGUGUUGUUUAUAGGUUGUUUUAUGACAAAAUUGCAAGUUUGGUCCCUGUGGUAUGUCAAAAAUUGGAUGUUUGGUCCAAAAAGUUUUGGGGUUGUACUGGUGGUCCAAAAGCUUUGAUUUGUUGUGGAAUUGGUCCAAAGGCUUAACAGCCGUCUACCCCCUCCGUCUGUGUGAGGGUAUUUUUGUCAAUUCACGCUCAUUCCUUUGAUAUCUUAUUAAAUUAAACCUCAUCAUCCUAAUUAAUUGAUACCUGCCGCCAAAUCCUCUGUGCAUUUCGUCGAUCGACUCUCCUGUCACUUUCAUCUUCAUUCGUUACCCAGAAGCCCUAACCUCCAAGUUGAGUUUUUUUAUUGUGAUCGGUGUUAUUUCAGUGUAUGAACAUACCAAUGUGGAAUAUAAGGCUCUUAGACAAACCGUUCAACGCAAAGGUGGCUUAUGGUAAGGAUUUUGUAAUUUCUCUGUACAUUACAUGUUUUGUAUGUGAAAUCAUGCUUCUGAACUUAUUUUUGUUGUUGGUUUGAAGAUGGCAACCCAACAUUAUUUACCAUCAAGCUAUACCAUAGAGGUGAGUUCACCAAGUUUCCUGAUGUUCAAUACAUUGACGGAAGUGUGAACUAUGUUGACAUGGUGGAUAUAGACACGUUUUCAGUUCAUGAGUUGGAUGCUAUCAUGAAAGGGUUCAGGUACGGUGUUCCUCCUGUGAUUUACUAUCACUUCCUUGUGCCUGGUGGAGACUUCCACUUUGGUCUUAAACCCUUAGGCAAUGAUGAUGAUUUACGAACUUUUGCCCAAUAUGUGUGUGAUCACAAAAUCAUGAGGGUAUAUACUGAACAUGGUGAGACAAAGUUACUUACCUACUUUAUGAAUCCUAAACCUGUUAAGAAGGUAACUAUUGUACAAAUGGAUGAAAUAGAUGAAAAUGAUGACAAUGAAAACCACACAGCUGAGGUACAAGAAUUUCCAAGCCCACCUAGAUCAUCCCCUGUUGAGGUUGAGGUACAACCAUUACAUGUCGAGGUUCAUGAUAGACAAAAAGAGCUUAUUGCCAAUGACUUUAUGGAGGCAGCUACAGAAUUUGAUAUUGGUUUGUAUCAAAAGAUGUUACAAUCAAAUGCAGAUGUU